rnacentral:rRNA from 1 species
GUCCAGCCUGCCCAGUGACUCUGUUCAACGGCCGCGGUAUCCUAACCGUGCGAAGGUAGCGUAAUCACUUGUUCUUUAAAUGAGGACUAGUAUGAAUGGCACCACGAAGGUUACACUGUCUCCUUUUUCUAAUCAGUAAAACUAAUCUUCCCGUGAAGAAGCGGGAAUUUUUAUAUAAGACGAGAAGACCCUAUGGAGCUUUAAACGAAAUAACAACUACCUCUAUUACUCCAAUUUCAGAAGACAAGCAUUAAUUCUGGUAUAAUGAUUACUAGUUUUAGGUUGGGGUGACCGCGGAGCAAAAAACAACCUCCGCACUGAAUGGACCUACACUCCUAAGCAAAAAGCUACAACUUUAUGCAUCAACAAAUUGACAUCCAUUGACCCAAUAAUUUGAUCAACGAACCAAGUUACCCUAGGGAUAACAGCGCAAUCCAUUUCAAGAGCUCCUAUCGACAAAUGGGUUUACGACCUCGAUGUUGGAUCAGGGUAUCCCAGUGGUGCAGCCGCUACUAAAGGUUCGUUUGUUCAACGAUUAAAACCCUACGUGAUCUG